GAUGAAGAACGUAGCGAAAUGCGAUACUUGGUGUGAAUUGCAGAAUCCCGUGAACCAUCGAGUCUUUGAACGCAAGUUGCGCCCGAAGCCAUUAGGCCGAGGGCACGCCUGCCUGGGCGUCACACGUCGUUGCCCCCCCAUCUACUCCUUCGGGAUUGCGGGGGGCGGAUGAUGGCCUCCCGUGCGCCUCGCCGCGCGGUUGGCAUAAAUGCCAAGUCCUCGGCGACGCACGCCACGACAAUCGGUGGUUGCGAAACCUCGGUUGCCCGUCGUGUGCGGUCGUCGCGCAUCGAGGGCUCGAAAAAAUUGCCGGGCUCCGGCUCGGCUUUCAACGCGACCCCAGGUCAGGCGGGGUUACCCGCUGAAUUUAAGCAUAUUCAAUAAGCGGAGGA
rnacentral:misc_RNA from 1 species